rnacentral:rRNA from 1 species
CGCUGCGGCAUGCCUAACACAUGCAAGUCGAACGAGACCUUCGGGUCUAGUGGCGCACGGGUGCGUAACGCGUGGGAACCUGCCUUUAGGUUCGGAAUAACUCAGAGAAAUUUGAGCUAAUACCGGAUGAUGUCUUCGGACCAAAGAUUUAUCGCCUUUAGAUGGGCCCGCGUUGGAUUAGCUAGUUGGUGGGGUAAAGGCCUACCAAGGCGACGAUCCAUAGCUGGUCUGAGAGGAUGAUCAGCCACACUGGGACUGAGACACGGCCCAGACUCCUACGGGAGGCAGCAGUGGGGAAUAUUGGACAAUGGGCGAAAGCCUGAUCCAGCAAUGCCGCGUGAGUGAUGAAGGCCUUAGGGUUGUAAAGCUCUUUUACCCGAGAUGAUAAUGACAGUAUCGGGAGAAUAAGCUCCGGCUAACUCCGUGCCAGCAGCCGCGGUAAUACGGAGGGAGCUAGCGUUGUUCGGAAUUACUGGGCGUAAAGCGCACGUAGGC